UCUCAAGAGUCUCCCGGUAGAUGUACCUAUUUUCUUUAUGUAAUGUAAUACAGUGGGUGAUUUGAUGUGGCUCGCCAAUUUAUCUGACCCUCCGACGGAUUUUGAUAAAUUUGCGUCACAGUCUAAACAUCUGAGCACUCUCUGUGCAAAACUCGGCGGUGUUUAACAACACUCAGCAGCAUGUGCAAGCUCUCUAAAACAUGAUCAAGCAACUUUUAGGAGCUAUAGGAGGACAAGCCAAGCAUGAGAGGUCAUGCAGAAAACAGAAUAUAAACCCUUCUGCUGAGGCAACAGCUCCCUUUAAACUAAACAAACAUCAAAUAACUGUCAGGGGAUGAAAAAGAAGAACCCAAAUACAGACAAUAAUAAACACAAAAGGGUUUUUAU